AUAUUGCGUUAAGGAUAGUAGUGAAAAUCCUUUUUGUGGUUUUUUUCGCUUUCGCGAAAACUGCCUUCAAAAAGAUUGCAACGGAUAGCCUGUUAAAAC
rnacentral:sRNA from 17 species